UUAGAUCCUGGCUCAGGAUGAACGCUGGCGGCGUGCCUAAUACAUGCAAGUCGAGCGAACAGAUAAGGAGCUUGCUCCUUUGACGUUAGCGGCGGACGGGUGAGUAACACGUGGAUAACCUACCUAUAAGACUGGGAUAACUUCGGGAAACCGGAGCUAAUACCGGAUAACAUAUUGAACCGCAUGGUUCAAUAGUGAAAGGCGGCUUUGCUGUCACUUAUAGAUGGAUCCGCGCCGUAUUAGCUAGUUGGUAAGGUAACGGCUUACCAAGGCAACGAUACGUAGCCGACCUGAGAGGGUGAUCGGCCACACUGGAACUGAGACACGGUCCAGACUCCUACGGGAGGCAGCAGUAGGGAAUCUUCCGCAAUGGGCGAAAGCCUGACGGAGCAACGCCGCGUGAGUGAUGAAGGUCUUCGGAUCGUAAAACUCUGUUAUCAGGGAAGAACAAAUGUGUAAGUAACUGUGCACAUCUUGACGGUACCUGAUCAGAAAGCCACGGCUAACUACGUGCCAGCAGCCGCGGUAAUACGUAGGUGGCAAGCGUUAUCCGGAAUUAUUGGGCGUAAAGCGCGCGUAGGCGGUUUUUUAAGUCUGAUGUGAAAGCCCACGGCUCAACCGUGGAGGGUCAUUGGAAACUGGAAAACUUGAGUGCAGAAGAGGAAAGUGGAAUUCCAUGUGUAGCGGUGAAAUGCGCAGAGAUAUGGAGGAACACCAGUGGCGAAGGCGACUUUCGUCUGUAACGACGCUAUGUGCGAAAGCGGGUCACU
rnacentral:rRNA from 1 species